rnacentral:rRNA from 4 species
UAACGACUCUCGGCAACGGAUAUCUCGGCUCUCGCAUCGAUGAAGAACGUAGCGAAAUGCGAUACUUGGUGUGAAUUGCAGAAUCCCGUGAACCAUCGAGUCUUUGAACGCAAGUUGCGCCCAAAGCUGUUAGGCUGAGGGCACGUCUGCCUGGGUGUCACG